ACGGUCAUAAUCCAACAAAUUAUCCAACGUUCUUGGCCCAACAACCUCACGUUUAAUUUGCUUGAAUAAUGAACGUUUGAACAAUGUAUUUUUACUGAGUAAAAGCAUAAAGACGUUUGAAACAACUCAGUAAACGUUUGUUUAUAAAACAAUAAUUUGAAAUCAAAUAGGAGUAGUUUUAGAUAAGAUCGAAUAAGAGAUAAACACUCCUACAAGUUAGGAAAUCGUUUUUGUUUGAAAUACUUGAUUUAAAAACUGAGCUCUAAUAAUUAUAUAAGUCAUAUAUAAAUAUUAAAGUCCUUACAAAUCGAUUCCUAAUAAAUCUCCUUGCUUUUCGACUUUGAUCCUUAUCCAUUUGUUAUUCUGUUCACGCUGUGAGCUUGCUGAUAAGCCUGAAUGAUAACCUGUAAGCUUGCUGACAGUUGAACAUAACACUGAAACUUAUCAAGCUGUUAGCACAUGCAUAUAUCACUUUGAUAGCUCGCUAACAAGCACUAGUUUUAUACUAUUAGCUUGCUGGCAGUGUGAUCAUCAAAAUAUCAUUAAACCUUAACAAAUAUACCAAUAUAGCACAUACAUCAGAUAUAACAAAUAUUUUAUGCAAAGCAGAAUAUAUUAUGCAAUCAGAUAUCAACCAAAUCAAGUACUUGCAUAAAUAGAUAGAUGAACUAAUAAUCUGACCAGGAUAAACCACCUGGAUACAGAUAAACAUCCCAAAACAACCAACUUAAACAAAUUUAACUUAGUACUUAGUCUGAAUCAAAAUAAAUAGAGCCAUAAAGUUGCACUUAAACACAUAAGCACACACAGGUUUUAUUAAUUAAGUUCCUAAAUUUCUCCCCCUUAAUCAUCGAAAAGGUGAAAAAUUUAAGCCUCGUCAUCGUCCACAGUUUUCUCCUUCUCAGAAUCCAGCUUCUUGGCAAGCUCCACAGCAAUGCGAUUCUGUUCCAGCAUUAGAUUUCCAGCAGCAGCCAACUCAGAAUCAGUACCUGCAGCCUCCUUAAGAGCAUCCAUCGCCGUACGUGGUCGUGGACUGUCAGAAGCAUCAUCCGUAGAGGUAAAGGUAAACUUGACAUCAGAAGACCCGCAAGACCCAAACAUCCUCUUGCGUAGCUCAUACCCAAAACUUCCAGAACUGCACUUCUCAGGAGAAUUACCAGUUUUUCCUCCAAAGACAAUAUCCUUCCAAAAAUCGAACUGAUUUGACAAUUCCUCCAUCUGUUCAGAAAGCUGUUUCUGACCAUCCACCAACUGCUUAUGAUUGGCUCGCAGUUCAUCCAUAAAGUCAAGAAUAUCUUUAGCAGGAAUACCAAGAUCAAUAGAAGCAGAGGGAACUGGAGAGACUUGUGGAGUAGGAACCACCGGAACUUCCACAACCGACAACGAACCAUCUUUCUCAACUUUCAAGUUGGACUGAGCUAAACACUUAACAUCUAGAAAUUCUUUGGCAGCAAUAGACUCAACACCAUCCAAACUAACUCCAUACCACUCAAAAAUCCUAGUGAGGAGUAACCCAUAAGGUAAACCAGCAGUGGUUUUCCCUUCAAUAGCAGCAAUCAUAUUGUUCAAAACUAAAUCCCCCAAAUCAAAUUGUUUCCCAGCCAACAACAUGGAAACAACAAUAACAUCUUGUGCAGACAGAUUGGAACGAGUUCCCAACCUAGGACUCAAAUUUUCAAUAGAGACUCUAAAGACAGCAUGAGCUAAAGGCAAUAUCUGAGUAGUAGAGGGAAAAGUAUCUACUGGACCAUCAACCCCAAACAACACAUUAAACUGUUGUUUAACAUCAAAAUCAUCAAACUGCUUAAACCCACGCUUAGUAUAGAUCGACACAGAAGAUGGAGGGGUUUUCAGAAUUGCAUUCAAAAACAGAGAAGACAAUGUGAUUUUAGUGUUGUUCACAUGCGAAACAUAAUGACCCGAAGUGUUCGAUUGAAGAUUGACAUAAAACUCACGAACAAGAGUGGGAUAACAAAUCUUAGGCAUGUCAAUUAAGAAGGAUUCAUAACCUAAAUCAGUGAAAAGCUUAACUACACCACAGUUAAAGAAAGCUUUACCCGAUAGAGGUUUCCCCAAAAUAAUCUUGCGAUCAUCAAGACCCAAAACAUCUGGCUUUUCUUCAGCUGACAUACGAGCCUUCUUGCCCGAUUUCUCCACCUUCGGAGCCCCAGACUUCUCAUCACUACUUUCGAUAUCGACCAAAUCAGGAUCAAUGUCGAUAUCAUCCUCAUCGAUUAACCUCCGUUUGGUGACUGAACCAGAAGUGGAUGUCUUCAUUGAUGCUCUAGUCUUCUUCUUCAUAGCUACCCGAGCGCCGAUUGUCGCAAUGGUGAAGAGAAAGAGUCGAUUUGUGAAGAGAGAUAAAACCCUAGUGGGUUGUUGAGAGCUUUUAAAGAAGAAACUGUAUAGACUCGGAGAUAGGAUAGAUUUUAAAAAUCUUUUGAUAAUGAUUUCGGGAGAGGAUUUAGGGAUUAAAUCUUUAAAACUAAUUUUUCGGAGAAACGACAUAAUAUAUAUCAGAUAAAAUAUACAAACAAAUCUAAGUUAACUAAUCUUAUCAGAUCUCCACUUAAAUAGCAACUCCUAAAAUUUGAAUUUUAACCUAUUCUUAAAUUCACAUAGAUUAUCACAUAAUCACGUAGAAAAAUUCAACACAUAAAUUCAUGUAAAUCAGCACAUAACGGAUAGUUUAUUAAUUAACCUAAACUGCAAAUAAACCCUUAAACUGACCCGCAUGCAAAAAUAAUUUAAAAUAUGGAAAGUACUAAGAGUAAGCUGAUAGUACCCGGACCAAGCUUAUUAGCUUGCUGACUGCACAUCACACAUACCCAAUUCCCUUCUCAGCACGACAUAUCGUUCUUCAGGAAGAGGUUUUGUGAAGAUGUCAGCUAGCUGAUCUGCUGUAGCCACAAAAAUCAGCUUGACAGCACCUUUUGCAACAUUGUCUCUCAGAAAAUGAUGUCGAACAUCAAUAUGCUUUGUCCUUGAAUGAUUGACUGGAUUUUCUGAAAUGUUGAUUGUACUUGUGUUGUCACAAAAGAUGUCUUCAUUGAUGCUCUAGUCUUCUUCUUCAUAGCUACCCGAGCGCCGAUUGUCGCAAUGGUGAAGAGAAAGAGUCGAUUUGUGAAGAGAGAUAAAACCCUAGUGGGUUGUUGAGAGCUUUUAAAGAAGAAACUGUAUAGACUCGGAGAUAGGAUAGAUUUUAAAAAUCUUUUGAUAAUCAUUUCGGGAGAGGAUUUAGGGAUUAAAUCUUUAAAACUAGUUAUUCGGAGAAACGACAUAAUAUAUAUCAGAUAAAAUAUACAAACAAAUCUAAGUUAACUAAUCUUAUCAGAUCUCCACUUAAAUAGCAACUUCUAAAAUUUGAAUUUUAACCUAUUCUUAAAUUCACAUAGAUUAUCACAUAAUCACGUAGAAAAAUUCAACACAUAAAUUCAUGUAAAUCAGCACAUAACGGAUAGUUUAUUAAUUAACCUAAACUGCAAAUAAACCCUUAAACUGACCCGCAUGCAAAAAUAAUUUAAAAUAUGGAAAGUACUAAGAGUAAGCUGAUAGUACCCGGACCAAGCUUAUUAGCUUGCUGACUGCACAUCACACAUACCCAAUUCCCUUCUCAGCACGACAUAUCGUUCUUCAGGAAGAGGUUUUGUGAAGAUGUCAGCUAGCUGAUCUGCUGUAGCCACAAAAAUCAGCUUGACAGCACCCUUUGCAACAUUGUCUCUCAGAAAAUGAUGUCGAACAUCAAUAUGCUUUGUCCUUGAAUGAUUGACUGGAUUUUCUGAAAUGUUGAUUGUACUUGUGUUGUCACAAAAGAUAGGAGUUUGCUUGCAUUUGAUUCCAAAGUCCUUCAAUUGUUGUCUCAUCCAUAGCAUUUGAGAGCAACAGCUACCAGCUGCUAAAUACUCCCCCUCAGCCGUAGAUAGAGCAACUGAAGUUUGCUUCUUGCUUAACCAAGAAACUAAGCUUUGACCCAAAAAUGCACAAACACCACUUGUACUUUUUCUAUCAGUUUGACUACCUGCAUAAUCUGCAUCACUAUACCCAACAAGAUCAAAAGCAUUUGUGAUAGGAUAGAAUAAGCCCAAAGUAAUGGUUCCACUUAAAUAUUUAAAUAUUCUUUUAACAGCUUGUAAGUGAGAAUCCUUUGGUUUUGCUUGAAAUCUAGCACAAACACAAACACUAUACAUAAUAUCAGGUCUAGAGGCUGUAAGAUAAAGUAAACUACCAAUCAUACCUCUAUACAUUCGAAUAUCAACAUCUUUACCAUUUUCAUCUGCUGUCAGCUUGCUGACAACGCUCAUCGGUGUUGAUUUCGCCUUGAUAUUCUCAUAUCCAAAUCUUUUGAGUAGAUUCUUGAUAUAUUUGGAUUGAUUCACAUAAAUUCCUUCUGGAGUUUGCUUAAUUUGGAGCCCCAAGAAAUAAUUGAGUUCUCCCAUCAUGCUCAUGUCAAACUCACUAUGCAUGCACUUUGAAAACCACUUACACAAAGAAUCAUUAGUAGAUCCAAAUAUAAUAUCAUCUACAUAUAUUUGAACAACUAAUAUGUCUUGACCUUUAAAGAUAGUAAACAAAGUAGGAUCAAUUUUACCUCUAAUGAAACCAUUCUUGAUCAAAAAUUCACUUAACCUUUCGUACCAUGACCGAGGUGCUUGCCUUAAUCCAUAUAGUGCCUUCUUGAGCUUGUAGACACGGUUGGGAUAUUUUUCAUCCUCGAAUCCUGGUGGUUGCUUGACAUAGACUUCUUCCUUUAGAUAUCCAUUUAAGAAUGCACUUUUGACGUCCAUUUGAUGUAGCUUGAACUUCUUGUAGCAUGCAAAUGAUAACAGCAUCCUGAUAGAUUGAACAUAGCUUGCUGUGUUGACAGCUUCUGCCCAAAAGCUUUUUGGCAGCUUGCUUUCCUGCAGCAAUGUCCUAGCUGUUUCUUGUAAGGACCUGUUCUUACGCUCUACAACUCCAUUUUGCUGAGGUGUACGAGGUGCUGAGAACUCAUGUGAAAUUCCUUUUUCUUCACAAUAUGUUAUGAAGUCUUUUUGGAAUUCCCCACCAUGAUCACUUCGAAUACCUACAAGUCUUGUAUCUAGUUUGUUCUCAAGCAACUUGAUUAGUUUCUCAAAUUCACUAAAAGCACAAUCUUUAGUACGCAAGAAUAAUACCCUAGUGAAUCUAGAAUAAUCAUCAACAAUAACAAAGGCAUAUUGUUUACCUCCAAUACUCUUAUAAGCUUCGGGACCAAAGAGAUCCAGUGAAGAAGCUCUAAAGGUUUAGAAGUAGAUACCAUUUUCUUUGCCUUAUGUGGAGUCCUUGUUUGCUUUCCCAAUUGACAGGCAGAACAUGUCUCCAUCUUGACAUACUUAAGCUUUGGUAGUCCUCGAACAAGCUUCUUUGCUGACAGCUUGCUGAGAUGAUCCAUAUGAGCAUGUCCAAGCCUUCUAUGCCAAAUUUCUGGAUUAUUAUCCACAGCUGCUAAACAAACACCUGCCUCCUGUUCUUCAAAGUUCAAAACAUAUAUAUUUCCUUCUCGUUUUGCAACUAGAGGAGUUUUGUUAGCACCAACAAGUAUAGUACAUUCAUCCUUACCAAAGUUAACAAUAUGACCAUCAUCAAAUAACUGACUUAUACUAAGCAAGUUAUAAGUAAGACCUUUAACAUAUUGUACCUUGUUAAUAGAAAUGAUACUAUUACCUAUAGUUCCUUUGCCAAGAAUAGGAAGAGUUUUGCUAUCACCAAUUGUGACACGUCCACCCUUCUUCAUCUUCAAGCUUAGAAACUGAGAUUUGUCUCCACUCAUGUGCCUAGUGCAUCCACUAUCCAAUAUCCAUUGAUUUGGCUUUACUUUAGACACGAGACAAACCUACAAAACAAACACAAACAACUCAACGUUUUGGUACCCAAAUUUUGUUGGGUCCAGCAGUGUUAGUUGAUAAAACAUAUAGAACAUUAAGAUCAGAUUUCUUGAUCCACAUUUGGACCACUUUAGAACUCUUCUUCCAUGUUCUGCUGGUCUUAUCAGCAUUCUGUCCUGGAGCUGUCUUCUGUCUGUUUCUGUUGUUAGCAUACUGCCAGUGAGCUGACUUCCUUCCCCAGCUUGCUGAUUGAGAAUUCUUCAUUGGACAAUUAUUAGCAAGAUGGCCCUUCUUUCCACACUUGUGACAAGUCACCCAAGGCAUGGCAUAAUUGUAUGGAAUGCCAUUUUUCCCUUCAUAUCUCAUUGAAGAUGUGGAUGUAGAAGCUGCACCAAUGCCUCCUUUGUCAUGAGAACCUUUAGCUUGUUUCAUCAUAGAUUUGAGACUUUCUUCUCCUUGAACAAACUUUCCCAUGGCUUUCUGAAGAUCUUUGACUUCUUGCUCCAAUGAUUUGAUCUUUUCAGCUUGAAUAGAGAUUUCGGCUAAGCUUUGGGAUUUGCUUAACUCGAAUGCCUCCAAGCUUGCAUCCUUAGCUUUAAGAUCUGCUCUCAGCGAGCUGAGUUCCUUCAUGAGUGUAUCAUUCCUUCUUUGGAUUUGCAUGUUGUUCCCUUCAAGUUGUGAGAUCUGUUCCUUGAGGGUAGCAAUGAUUCCACUACUAGCUUUGGCACUCUUUUCAUUCAAGAAAUCACCUAUGACUUUCUUCAAAUGAACAUUUUCUUUCUCGAGCUCAUAAUUCUCAUUCUUUAGAUCAAUGAGUUCCAUUAUUGAUAAACAACUCUUAUCCUGCAUGGUUAGUUCACAAGUAGUUGUAUCAAUAGUAUGUAAUUCAGAAUUAAUAGAGUUUACCUCACUGUUAGUGUCCGUAUCUGAAUCCGUUGUAUCAAUUGAGCCAUCGAGACCAACAAGAGCCAAGUUCACCAUCUCAUCACUAGAAUCAUCAGAAGCUGACUCAUCUUCAUCAUCACUCCAAGUUAGAAGUGCCUUGGAUUUCUUUUUAUUCUUGUAAUCAGCUUGCUGUCUAGGCGGCUUUGACUUGUUUUUCAGCUUGUAGCAAUCCCUUUUGAAAUGCCCUUUCUUGCCACAUUCAAAACAUGCAUCAUCCUUUGGAUCUUUCUUUGCACCAAAAGCUUUGCCCUUUUCUCGCUUCAUUUUGUUUUUCUUUUCAAUCAUUCUCUUGAUUUUCCUGGACAUAAGAGCUAGAUCCUCAUCUGAUUCUGUUUCCUCAUCUGUUUCCAGCUUGCUGACAGAGGAGUGCAGUGCAAGAUUCUUCAUUUUCUCUGUUGGCAGCUUGCUGCUUUCUGAGCUGUUAGCUUCAAUCUUAGCUUCAAAUUGUUCCAACUCAGCAAAUAUAGCCAGGUGAUCCAUAGUAUCAAUGUUGAGAGCUGACUCCAAUGCUGUGACCUUGGCACCAUAUUCGAAUGGAACUGCAUUUAGAAUAUUCAUGUUGAUUUCCGAUUGAGGAAUCUUUUUGCCAAGUCUUUCAAGGCUGUUAAGAGUGACUUGGAAUCUAGCUUGGCUUUCACGAAUGGAUUCUCCCUUCUUGAUAGCGAAGCUUCCAAAUUCUUUCAUGAGCUUUCCGAGCUUGACCUUCUUUAGACCUUGUGAGCCUUCAUGAUAUGUCUCCAAUGCAUCCCAAAUUUCCUUUGCUGUUUUGAGAGAAGAGACCUUGUCAUAUUCAGCUUGAUUCAGCCCAUUGAUCAAUGUACUCCUUGCUUUUCCAUUGGCAGCAACCUUUGAUAGCUCGUCCGCUGUGAGAACAUCAACGUCCUUGACUUUGCCAUCUUUAUCAAGAUAUUCAUAAGGACCUCUUUGCACAACUCUUUGCAUUAGGGGAUCUCUGGAUAGAUGAGCCUCCAUUUGGCCUUUCCACCAAUUGUAGUUGUCAGAACCCGUGAGGAGAGGAGCUCUAAAAUCGGACUUUCCCUGAAAGUUAUCAGCCAUAUCGAUCGAUACUAUUCCUGUUACAGAAGUAUUAGUACAAACACAGCUCUGAUACCAAUUGAAAUUACACACCUAGAGGGGGGGUGAAUAGGUGUUAUGGCUAAUAUGACCGAUUUUUAAUGUUACCGAAUAUUUAUACUGUCACAGACAGCUUGCUGUUAAUUUCAGAGUAAACAGUCAGCUAGCUAACAAUGCAGAUGCAAUGCAAAACAGAUAUAAUCAGUAAGCUAGCAACACAGAGAAUUUUAGCCAGGUUCGACCCCUAACCCUAAUGGUCUACGUCCUGGUCCCCUACCAACUGGUAAGAGAUUAUAUUAUUAAUCAAUAAUGUUAACAAUUACAAUGAUUCAAUAAUAUAACUCCCUUUAACCCUUGUUCCUGUUAUCAGCUUGCUGAAACCCCUGAACCACGAACCAAAAGCUCUCCAAGACCUAUACUUCCCAAGUAUACUCUUCUAGCUAACUAGUCCCCUUGUUCCCUUGUUUCACAAGCUCGAUACACAGCAACAAACCUUUACACUUUGAACAAUACAAUGUAUGAGUGUAAUACAACCGAAACUAUGAACUCAAUAUAGAUAUAUAAUCAAAUAUAAGUACUAGAGCUCAAGUAAAGAUUUUGCAAUGUAAGUGUGUUGUAUUUCAGAAGCUUGAAGUGUGUUCUUGUUCUCUACCAAAACGGAAACCACACUCAAGUUUAUAUACACAAAGAUCCAACGGUCAAUUUGCUAACAAAUUCCAACGUUCUUGUUCCAACCGAACUCACGUAUAAUUUGUUCUCAAUUUGAACGUUUAAACUUGUGAAGUUUACUGAGUAAAAAGCGUAGAAACGUUGUGAAGAUAUCUCAGUAAAACGUUUAUAUAAAAACCAUAAUUUGAAAUAGGAUAGGAGUAGUUUUAGAUAAGAUCGAAUAAGAGAUAAAAACUCCUAUAAGUUAGGAAAUCGUUUUUGUUUGAAAUACUGAUUUAAAACUGAGCUCUAAUAUUUAUAUAAGUCAUAUAUAAAUAUUAAAGUCCUUACAAAUCGAUUCCUAAU
rnacentral:lncRNA from 1 species